GAUGAACGCUGGCGGCGUGCCUAAUACAUGCAAGUCGAGCGAACAGAUGAGGAGCUUGCUCCUCUGACGUUAGCGGCGGACGGGUGAGUAACACGUGGAUAACCUACCUAUAAGACUGGGAUAACUUCGGGAAACCGGAGCUAAUACCGGAUAAUAUAUUGAACCGCAUGGUUCAAUAGUGAAAGACGGUUUUGCUGUCACUUAUAGAUGGAUCCGCGCCGCAUUAGCUAGUUGGUAAGGUAACGGCUUACCAAGGCAACGAUGCGUAGCCGACCUGAGAGGGUGAUCGGCCACACUGGAGCUGAGACACGGUCCAGACUCCUACGGGAGGCAGCAGUAGGGAAUCUUCCGCAAUGGGCGAAAGCCUGACGGAGCAACGCCGCGUGAGUGAUGAAGGUCUUCGGAUCGUAAAACUCUGUUAUUAGGGAAGAACAAAUGUGUAAGUAACUAUGCACGUCUUGACGGGACCUAAUCAGAAAGCCACGGCUAACUACGU
rnacentral:rRNA from 1 species